rnacentral:rRNA from 1 species
AUUGAACGCUGGCGGCAGGCCUAACACAUGCAAGUCGAGCGGAUGAAGGGAGCUUGCUCCUGGAUUCAGCGGCGGACGGGUGAGUAAUGCCUAGGAAUCUGCCUGGUAGUUGGGGAUAACGUCCGGAAACGGGCGCUAAUACCGCAUACGUCCUGAGGGAGAAAGUGGGGGAUCUUCGGACCUCACGCUAUCAGAUGAGCCUAGGUCGGAUUAGCUAGUUGGUGGGGUAAAGGCCUACCAAGGCGACGAUCCGUAACUGGUCUGAGAGGAGGAUCAGUCACACUGGAACUGAGACACGGUCCAGACUCCUACGGGAGGCAGCAGUGGGGAAUAUUGGACAAUGGGCGAAAGCCUGAUCCAGCCAUGCCGCGUGUGUGAAGAAGGUCUUCGGAUUGUAAAGCACUUUAAGUUGGGAGGAAGGGCAGUAAGUUAAUACCUUGCUGUUUUGACGUUACCAACAGAAUAAGCACCGGCUAACUUCGUG